rnacentral:rRNA from 1 species
CAGGCUUAACACAUGCAAGUCGAGGGGCAUCAGGAAGAAAGCUUGCUUUCUUUGCUGGCGACCGGCGCACGGGUGAGUAACACGUAUCCAACCUGCCCUUUACUCGGGGAUAGCCUUUCGAAAGAAAGAUUAAUACCCGAUAGCAUAAUGAUUCCGCAUGGUUUCAUUAUUAAAGGAUUCCGGUAAAGGAUGGGGAUGCGUUCCAUUAGGUUGUUGGUGAGGUAACGGCCCACCAAGCCUUCGAUGGAUAGGGGUUCUGAGAGGAAGGUCCCCCACAUUGGAACUGAGACACGGUCCAAACUCCUACGGGAGGCAGCAGUGAGGAAUAUUGGUCAAUGGGCGCUAGCCUGAACCAGCCAAGUAGCGUGAAGGAUGAAGGCUCUAUGGGUCGUAAACUUCUUUUAUAUAAGAAUAAAGUGCAGUAUGUAUACUGUUUUGUAUGUAUUAUAUGAAUAAGGAUCGGCUAACUCCGUGCCAGCAGCCGCGGUAAUACGGAGGAUCCGAGCGUUAUCCGGAUUUAUUGGGUUUAAAGGGAGCGUAGGUGGACUGGUAAGUCAGUUGUGAAAGUUUGCGGCUCAACCGUAAAAUUGCAGUUGAUACUGUCAGUCUUGAGUACAGUAGAGGUGGGCGGAAUUCGUGGUGUAGCGGUGAAAUGCUUAGAUAUCACGAAGAACUCCGAUUGCGAAGGCAGCUCACUGGACUGCAACUGACACUGAUGCUCGAAAGUGCGGGUAUCAAACAGGAUUAGAUACCCUGGUAGUCCACACAGUAAACGAUGAAUACUCGCUGUUUGCGAUAUACAGUAAGCGGCCAAGCGAAAGCAUUAAGUAUUCCACCUGGGGAGUACGCCGGCAACGGUGAAACUCAAAGGAAUUGACGGGGGCCCGCACAAGCGGAGGAACAUGUGGUUUAAUUCGAUGAUACGCGAGGAACCUUACCCGGGCUUAAAUUGCAGUGGAAUGAUGUGGAAACAUGUCAGUGAGCAAUCACCGCUGUGAAGGUGCUGCAUGGUUGUCGUCAGCUCGUGCCGUGAGGUGUCGGCUUAAGUGCCAUAACGAGCGCAACCCUUAUCUUUGGUUACUAACAGGUUAUGCUGAGGACUCUAGAGAGACUGCCGUCGUAAGAUGUGAGGAAGGUGGGGAUGACGUCAAAUCAGCACGGCCCUUACGUCCGGGGCUACACACGUGUUACAAUGGGGGGUACAGAAGGCAGCUAGCGGGUGACCGUAUGCUAAUCCCAAAAUCCUCUCUCAGUUCGGAUCGAAGUCUGCAACCCGACUUCGUGAAGCUGGAUUCGCUAGUAAUCGCGCAUCAGCCACGGCGCGGUGAAUACGUUCCCGGGCCUUGUACACACCGCCCGUCAAGCCAUGGGAGCCGGGGGUACCUGAAGUACGUAACCGCAAGGAUCGUCCUAGGGUAAAACUGGUGACUGGGGCUAAGUCAUAAC